CCUCCCUCCCCUGCUCCCCACGGUCCAGGCUCAUCCUGCUCUCCACAAAGGGCACAAAGUCGAGGCCGGAGGGGUGCAUUUCCUCCAGCAGCACAUGCACUGGAGGCAGUCGUGGGUUUAACCCCUCCAGGUACGGCUCCCUGGGCUCCCAUCACCGGGGCCAGCUCGUGCUUCGGGGCUGGCCUGGAGGAGCAGCUCUGGACGUGGAGAGGCGCUGGCAGAGCAGGGUCACAGCUUGUCCCCAGCUCCAGACAUGGCCACGGGUCACUGGAGAUGCCUCUCUUGGCACUGCCUCCCAAGGGAAGAUGACGCUGUUGAGUCAGGGAUGGAAUGAAAGACUCCAGUUUUCGUGUGGAUCAGAAGAAAAGCUGAAACUCUCAUCACACCAUGAUGAAACCUUGUGGGACUUUUGAUACAAUUGCAAAAUGGCAAACCCCGUUUUAUGGCUCCUUCCCAGCAGCAGGUGCCUGGAGCCAGCCUGGGUUUGGAGCCUGGCUGAUUUCUGCACAUGAAACACCAGUAGAGGCACAGAACCAAGGGCAUCACUUCUGGAGUCACCCCAAGGAGGUCAAGAAUAGGAAAAGAAUGAAUGGUGGGGAGGAGGAAGCUGCCCAGGACUUGGCAGAGAGUGUUGGGCCAUUGGAAUGUGGGAAUGGAACUGAUUUGGUUUGGUCUGGAAAUGACGUGGGAAUGGUUUGUGCUCAGGCUCUGCCUCCAGGCGUGGGCUGGAAGCCUCUGAGGGGUGAUGGGCUCAGCCCUGGGGAUGUCCUGGCACAUGGCCGUGCUGGGACUGAGCCUGGGCCAGUCUGAACCCCCGGGGCCAGCGGGAGCUGUGCCUGGCAUGGGUGAGCCGAGGAACCAAACCUGGCACUGGACACCCACAGAGGUCAUUUCAGGAGAGACCUGGGGUCAUACAAUGCCCCAGGGCAGGAGAUUUUACAUUUGAGUCUCCAGUUUUACAUUUGAGUCUCAAAUUUUACAUUUCAGUAUCCAAUUUUACAUUUC